GACGAACGCUGGCGGCGUGCCUAAUACAUGCAAGUAGAACGCUGAAGGAGGAGCUUGCUUCUCUGGAUGAGUUGCGAACGGGUGAGUAACGCGUAGGUAACCUGCCUGGUAGCGGGGGAUAACUAUUGGAAACGAUAGCUAAUACCGCAUAAUAGUAGAUGUUGCAUGACAUUUGCUUAAAAGGUGCAAUUGCAUCACUACCAGAUGGACCUGCGUUGUAUUAGCUAGUUGGUGGGGUAACGGCUCACCAAGGCGACGAUACAUAGCCGACCUGAGAGGGUGAUCGGCCAAACUGGGACUGAGACACGGCCCAGACUCCUACGGGAGGAAGCAGUAGGGAAUAUUCGGCAAUGGACGGAAGUCUGACCGAGCAACGCCGCGUGAGUGAAGAAGGUUUUCGGAUCGUAAAGCUCUGUUGUAAGAGAAGAACGAGUGUGAGAGUGGAAAGUUCACACUGUGACGGUAUCUUACCAGAAAGGGACGGCUAACUACGUG
rnacentral:rRNA from 1 species